ensembl:lncRNA
CAUUUUCUGAACUGAACCUAAAUUCACUGAGCACCAGAAUGUUUACAGUUUACAUUCAAGUUCAAAUGAUCUUAAUUAUGAGAGAGAGAGUGUGAUGGUGUGUGUGUACUGUAUAGUUUCCCCAUAAGGCUGAAUAAUCGCCUCAUUAAACACGUCAGUCAGGCAGAUCGUUUCUCCUGUGACUCCCAAACUGUGUUCUGAGAAUUGCUGUGAAGGUGCUGUCUCACACUCUCUCUCUCUCUCUCUCUCUCUCUCUCUCACACACACACACACACACACACACACACACACACACACAUACAGCGCCACUGUAUGAGGAACAGAGACACAAAGAAACGACACGCAUUCAACAAAACUCUUCAUACAGGACACAAGAACGUCACAGUUCAUGACGCUUUUAUCCAAAGCGACUUACAAAUGAGGAAAUACAAGCGAAGCGAUAUAUCACGCAGAGAACAAUACAAGA